rnacentral:lncRNA from 10 species
UACAGACAGGGCCUCAUUAUGUUGCCCAGGCUGGUUUUGAACUCCUGGGCUCAAGUGAUCCUCCCACGUAGGCCUCCCAAAGUGCUGAGAUUAUAGACAUGAGCCACCACACCUGGCAGGUGUUACCGUGAGAAAAUAUCUUGAACUUCUACUCUGUACUUCACCAUACAAGAAUUGAGCCUGGUGUUUUCUUUAAAUUAUUUUAUGAUUACUUAAAGCCAUUCUUUAUAAAUUUUGUGUCCCAGAGUCGAUGUAUUCUACCUUUGUCGACCAGAACUUCUCCAUCAUACAGUCCAAACUUGUGGGUCUGGAAAGCACAAACUCUGUAAAUGAGAAACUGGUGAUGAUGUUAAGUAAGUUAUUUAUAUUUUAAGUCCCUGAUUUUAGACUCAUGUAUUUUACCUACUCGGAAAAAAUCAUAUUAUGGUUGUUGAUUUAGAAUACACAUCCUAAAAAGUGACAUCCCAUCUUUGUAUGGUCUCAUGUCUGAGCUAGGCAUCCCACUGAAAUCUUUAACUUAACAUGCCAUUGUUCCACUACGCACCACCCAGCAGCUAAUUGGUCUCCACGCAGAAUGGUGCUAUUAGGGGGACUCAGUGAUUGUCUUGUAUGUAUGGACAUCAUGCAGUAACAGGAGAUAAAUUUGUGUUGGAGACAGGGAACCCAUGCUACUGAAUUUAUGCAUAGUCUUCCUUACAUCACCAUGGUUACCAUGUCUACAUGCACCUCAUGCUCACACUUGGGUUGCGUGAUGGUUAAUAUUGAGUGUCAACUUGAUUGGAUUGAAGGAUGCAAAGCAUCGUUCCUAGGUGUGUCUGUGAGGGUAUUGCCAAAGGAGAUUAACAUUUGAGUCCGUGGACUGAGAAAGCCAGAUCCACAAUCAAUCCGGGUGGGGACAAUCUAAUCAGCUGCCAGCAUGGCCAGAAUAAAAGCAGACAGAAACACGUGGAAAGACCAGACUGGCUAAGCCUUCUGGCCUCCAUCUUUCUUCCAUGCUGGAUGCUUUCUGCCCUUGAACAUCAGACUCCAAGUUCUUCAGCUUUUGGAUUCUUGGACUCACACCAGUGAUUUGCCAGGGGCUCUUGGGCCUUCCACCACAGACUGAAGGCUGCACUAUCAGCUUCCCUACUUUUGAGGUUUUGGGACUCGGACUGGCUUCCUGGCUCCUCAGCUUGAAGACAACCAAUGGUGGGACUUCACCUUGUGAUCCUGUGAGUCAUUUCUCCUAAUAAAUUCCCCUUCAUAUAGACACUAUCCUAUUAGUUCUGUCCAUCUAGAGAACCCCGACAAACAUGGGUUGCUAUCAACUGGACAAAUCAUUGCCAACUAAGUUUUUUAGUGCUUCAGCACUUCUACCAUAGUUAGUGUGCACUAAUGAAUGCAAACAUUUGUAUUACCUAAUACAUGGUCUGGUACAGCAUCCUCAGAUGUGAACUAUGCUGCCUCCUGUAUCCAAAAAGGACUACCAAAUGUUGUACUUCCAUCUUAUUGCAGUGCAGUAAGAAAUAUUUUGUCCUUUAUUUUGUAGAUGUCCCAUCAUGCCCUCAACCACAAAACACCUAAAUUUUACGGUUAUAAUCGCUGUCAGUGGUUGUACGUUGAUAUUCUAUUGUUCCAGCACCAUUCUUUUCCUAUUAAAUUACACUGGCAAAUUUGAUUAAAAAAAACAACUGACUAUAUAUGCUUGUAAACAUUUCCAGAUUAUGUUAUUCUUUUAAUCUAAAUAUGUGUCCUUAUGCCAAUACCCCACUCCAUCUAUUACUGCAGUGUAUGAUAAGUCUUGAAAUCUAGUAGUGUAAGUUCUUCAACGUUGCCCUUAAUUUUUAAAAUCACUCUUGCUAUUUAAAAUUGUUUGUAUUACAUGGAAAUUUUAUAAUCAGCUUGCCAAUUUCUACAAAAGUCCUGCUGAGAUUUUAAUUGGUAUUUUGCUUGUUCUGCAGCUUAAUGCAAGAAAAUUAUCUUAACAAUAUUGAAUUUUUCAAUCUAUUAACAUGUUAUAUAUUACUGUUUACUUAGGAUUUUUUCACUUUUCCUGCCUUGUUUUGAACUGAUAUUGUGGUUUUAAGUAAUUUUUUUUAUUUCUACUAUUGGCUUAGUAACUAUGCCCCACUUUUUGAUUUUGUAGCACAGUUGACCAUUGAACAACACAAGUUUGAAUUGUGCAUGUCCAAUUGUCUAUGGAUAUUUUUCAAUAAAAGUUACACUGAGUGCAUCAGCCUCUCUCCUUCUUCUCCUUCUACCUCCUCCAACUGUUCCACCUCUGCCACCCCAAAACAGCAAGAACAACCCCUCCCUUCCUCCUCCUCCUCCUCAGCCUACUCAAGGUGAAGCUGAUAAGGUAAG